GCGCAGCCCCAUUUAUUCCAACAAGUUUGGCAAGUUCUUUGAGAUCACCCCAAAGAAAAGUUCUCAGCUACAGGACUUGGAUAUACUUGUGGACUAUGCUGAAAUUAACGAGGUUACAAAAUAAAUAUAUAUACAGAACUAUAAUUAGACAAUAAUUUAUAGUAUAUUCACUCGAUCACUUGCUUUUUAAAUUUUAGGGAGGUUUGAUGUUGCCACACUUCAAUUCGAGGGCCACAAUGGUAGUAGUGGUUAAUGAAGGAAAGGGAAACUUUGAACUUGUGGGUCUAAGAAAUGAGGAAGAAGAGAAAAGCAAACAAGUGCAGAGGUAUAGAGCUAACCUGUCUCCAGGUGAUGUCUUUGUCAUUCCAGCAGGUCAUCCAGUUGCUGUAAAUGCUUCCUCAAAUCUCUCUUUGCUUGGGUUUGGUAUCAAUGCUCAGAACAACCAGAGAAACUUCCUUGCAGGUAUGGAUAAUUAAAUUAAAUUAAAUGUACUAUAAAUGGACAUAAACUCAUCGGGCGAGAAAAGGCUCACUUAGGGUACAUUUUUUUGUUGAUUGAAAAUUUGAAGGUGAGGACGAUAAUGUGAUAAGCCAAAUAGAAAGGCCGGUGAAAGAGCUUGCAUUUCCUGGUUCUGCUCAAGAGGUUGAUAGACUAAUAAAGAAUCAAAGACAAUCUCACUUUGCAAAUGCUCAAUCACAAGGAAGCCAAAGAAGGAGUCCUCUAUCUUCAAUUUUGGACACUUUUUACUGAGUAAUCAAUCAACUGAAAUAAUAUGCAUGUAUGAUGUAAGAGUUAGUUAGCUCAUAGUGAGCACAGGAUGAAUAAGGAGGAUCUUGUAACUAUAACAACUUGAGUUCUGCUCUUAUGCUAUGAAUAAAUACAUUAAGAAUAAAUUGUGUCUUCUUAAUCAGCUCUGUUCUACUAUGUUCCUUUUUGUAGUGAAUAAUGCUCUAUGCUAGUUAUAUCAAAAGUGUUCAAAACAAUAACUUGAAAUAGUAAGAGUGGAGUUCAGUUAUAUUUAUAGUAAAUAAAAAAAUGAAUACAAAACAAAAUAAUAGAAUGUACCUUUUAAUUAAUGUUGCUCUAGUUAUAACUAUCGACAAAUAUCACCUGGUAUAGCCUAAGUGGUAAGUGUUGCAAAUUUCAGAGUAAGAAAUUUAAUUUUUAUUCAUAAAAAAACAAGAAGAAACACAUGACUAUAAUGACACAAUUCAAUAGAUUGUAUAAUACAGCCUAAAUAGAUAUACAAUUUAAUUAACAAAAAUGGACUUACCCAAAUGCAUAACAUUCUAGAAACUCUACGACUUUCAUAAUUCUGAAAUGAAAUUACCAUAUUUAUGUGUUUAAAAAAUCACUUUGUUACAUGUGUAGCUUGCUAUAAAAGUUAUUUCAAUAUAAUUUUAAUUACAACUUGCAUAAUUCUCAAAUUAUUAUUGUACAUUUAGCAUUUAUUAUAAUAAAAAUACAUUUUUUUUUCUAUUCGUAAUGAAUAUUGUGAGAUGGAGGCCUGUAGUCUUUUUUUUUGUUCUUUCAAUUAAGGUAUAGUUUUUUUUAUCUUUGAAUGAUUACUUCACAAAGAUUUAAUUUGUUUUAAUUGCUACAAAGACAUAUUUAUAUCAUAUUUUUUUCUUGAAAAAAGAGUAAAUAUUGUUAGAGAAUCAUUGUUGAGUUCAACAAUUCAAAAAUUAGAAAAAUAAAAUUUAAAAUAGUAAUGUGAAAAAUUAUUAUAAAAUUAAAUUAUAAUGUAAUUUUAUAUAGUGUAUCAUAAUUUUUUCAAUUUAGAAAGAACAAUACAAUUCAGACAAAGAAAAGUACAAUGUAAUUAAUGAAAGAAAAUUAUAAAAAAUAGAAUACAAACCGUAACAACAAAAUUCAUACGUGUAUGAUUGUUGUCGAAGUCUUAACCUACUUCGAAUUAAUUUGAAAACCUUUUGCUAUCUUUAAUAUCCUUACUCCAAUAUAAAACUAAUAAAGAAAUGUGCAUGAUUGUUGUCGAAGUCUUGACCUACUUUGGAUUAAUUUGAAAAUCUUUUGCUAUCUUUAAUAUCCUUACUCCAAUAUAAAACUAAGAAUCUUUAUUUUAGAACUUCAAAUGUCAAAUGUGGUCAAUAAAACUUAACCAUCAUAGAAUGAAAAUAGAAAAAGAAUAAAAAAUGAUACAUUUUUUUACUACCAUACAUAGAAACACAAAGAGAAAGCUAAUAAUGACUAACAAUAGAGAAAUUAUAGUGAAAUAUGGCAUUUAAAAAAAUGACUAAUGAAUAAUGAACAUGUUAAAGAACCGCAUCAUAAAUCACAAAUAUUUUUAAUUUUGAAUUUUUAAAUAUUAUAGUAUCAAGUUGAGAAAGGAUGAAAAAUAACAAAUUCAAAAUAGGUCAAGACUUCACCGAUAAUUAUGCAUGUAUGAAUUUUGUUGUUACAAUCCGUAAGAUUAGAUAUAGACAUUAAAUUACUAAAAAGUAAAUAAAAAUGCCAAUUUUUCUAUUAAUUAAACUUAGUUAUCGCAGUCAUUAAAAUAGGUCCCAAAAUAUAGCCACGAUUAAUUUUUGGUUAGCCACAUUUUUUUUUAUUGUGGUAAUGCCUUAUUAGCAACGUUUAUAUUUUUUAACCACAUUUAAAUCCUAGCUAUCUUAAUUUAAAAAAAUUCAAAAUUUGUCAAAACUUAUUUAUCAUAUAUUAAAACAUCCUCACAAAUCAUUCUAUUGUCAUCUAAUUAUAAAUUUUGAUAUAUAGUUUUAUUUUUAUCAAAUCAAUUAUAUGUUUAUAUGUCACUCUAAGUUUGCACUUGUAGACAAGUUUUAUUUAUAGCUCUACUGUAUACUUGCUCAUUCAUUCAAUAUUCAUUCUCCUUCAAUUUUAUAAUCAAUUCAUAUCAAUAAUUAUAAUACCACAUUUAUUUAGCGAUGACUCACCCAAAAUAUUUGUCCUUCCUCCUGCCCUAUUUUUCAUUUUUAAAUACUUUUGUUCUUUCUAAAUAUGGAAUAGUUCAUAGUUGAUUAUUAUUCUUCAACCCUUCUAUUUAUUAUUAUGUCUCAAAAGUUAGGAAAUGGUAUUGUGUGCACUCCUCUCUAGUGGUCUUCAUCAUCCUUUCAUCCACUGCAAUUACUAUCAUCAAUGAUUAGAACAUAUAUUAUUUUUCUUAUUAAAUAUUUGAUUUCUUAUUUGUUGAUUUCUUAUUUGAACAUAUUAAGUAUUGUGGCAUGGACAAGAUCAAUAUCAUAUAUACUAACCUCAGUUUUUUCCAUUUCGUUUUCUUUGCGAAUUUUAACCUGGUUUGUUUCUUUACAAUUUAAAUUGGCAAUACUUGAAGAGCUGAUAAACAAUAUUUAACAUGCUUUUGAAGGAUAGUGUUACUCUUCUCCCUUCUGUAUGCGUUUUAAAAGGAGAGCCGAUAAACUUGAAUGUGUUGUUUUAUGAAGUUGUGGCAACUUCUCUCAACUGCUCAUUGUCGUCGCUGUCGUCAUUCCAAACCAUAAAAGGAGUGAUAUAUCAUCUUGACAAUGAGGGUUUUCAAGAAGAGAAAAACAAAGAGAUUCAUUACAUCGCAUAUUUGAGGUUAGGAUUUCUGUUUAAUAAUUGGACUUCAAAAAUCAUGUUUCUCAUAGGAUUUCGAUAAAGACGUGAUUAGUUGAUUUUCAGUGCAGGAAAUUUGAAGAUUUUGAUGUGAUUAGUUGAUUUCUCAUAGAAUUACGUUAAAUUUUGUUUAGAAUGAUUUUAUUUUGCUUUAAAUUCAUAUGUUUGCUUCAAUUCCUUUUUCACUCUAGGACUCUUGUGAAUCUUAGUAUACUUUUGAUCUUUUUUUUUUUUUUUGUUAUUGUGAAUUUUAAGUCAUGGUAUUGGCACUACUAGCAAAACUGUUUUUAGCUGCUAUACUUAGCGUCGGCCAUGACUCUAACGCUAGUUAGCGUCGGUCAUGUGGACGCUAGUUCACGAAAUAUUUUUGUGUUUUCAUUAAAUAUUAGCGUCGGUUUGGCCGACGCUAAAUAAAACAUGGCAGACGGUUAUUUAUUUUUUAGUUUAAAUCAUCCAUCUAGCGUCGGACAGUCGGACGCUACAUUUUCUAAUUUGUAAAGUUAAUUAGUUUUUUCAGUAAAUUUAUUUUAUGUUUAGGGUUUGCUCCUACACUCUAAAAGUAUUUCAGUUUCCUCCUAAACUCUUAGCCCCAAAUUUGCUGAACUUUUCAUUUUCAUCUUCCCCAAAAUCUCAACCAACCUUCAAUCUCCAUCUCAGUUUUAUUUCCCCCAAUUGGCAUUCCAUCUCAGGUUCCUUAAAAUCGCGCCUUCAUUCAUCUAGAUGCGAAAAAACUCCAAAAUUACUCAUCUUGCGAAAAACCCCAGAUCCCUAAAAUCACUUGAAGCCUUACGUGAUCAAAAAACUUGAAUUUGAAAUCAAAUCCUUGCAUAUUGCUUUGCACCUUGCUGCCGAACGAGGAGGAGGAAGGAGGUGCCGUGUAACGUCGGUGGCGAAGAGUCUCCGGUGAAAACGAGGAGGUGGAGGAGGCGCGCUUCACAUGGACGACACAAUUCCUGGAAGCUCCGACGAGUUCCUGAAACGUGUUUCCUCCCGUGCUUAUGACAUGCGCAGGAAUCUUCAUCAGUCUUUUGAUUCUAGUAGCUACGACGGUAUCUCAUCUUUCGUUUCAAUUUUUGUUACUUGUGAUUCUGAAAGAUUAAUCGAAUUUGAAUUGUCUAUCAAUUUUUCAUAAGUUAAUGCUUACAAUUUGAAUUUAAGCAUAAAAGUUAGUUGAAGUUUCUGCAAUUGUCAUAUGAUUUGAAUUUUCCAUAUGCAAUUUUUUUUUCUUCUGCAAUUGUCAAUUGUUACAUUUUUCUCUAAGUUUUUUGUCUGGGUGUUUGAAUGCAUAUUAGUUUAUUGGCUUGUCUAUUUAUGUUAGGAAUAAUAUAUCGGUUAGGAAUUCCGUGAACAAGCCUUAAUCUCAUCCUAAUCUAUAAAUAUUAAAGUUGGGAGCCACAAGCUAAGUGAUUCUUUUCGCAUUACUAUUUCUAUUGAAAUCCACAUGAAAAUGCAGGAAAUUUUUUCUCUACUUCAAGAGAACGAAACUUUGCUGAAAUUGAAUAAGAAGCUGAAUCAAGAAAAGGAAACCUUGUUGAAGAACAAGGAUUUGACAGAUACUCAAAUUGGAAAGUUAACUAAAUCCUUGGAGGCAAUGCAGAAAGAUAUCAGAGACAAAGAGAAUCAGGUAGUUCAUUUUUAGUAUAAAUGAUUCUAUCAAACAACAUUUGUAUUUAUGAAAGUUGUGAUAUACCAAUUUUAACUUUCAGGUGCUAGUUUUAAAACAGUCCUUGGAACACCAAAGAAAAGAGCUCAAUGAUUGCAGAGCUGAGAUCACUUCACUGAAAAUGCAUAUUGAAGGGUCUCUCUCAGGAAAUAAUCUGUCUAUCAGGGAAGUUACUAAUGUUCAAUCUCAAUCUAUAGAGAAAUAUGAGGAAGAAAUUAAGAAAUUGAAGGUGGAAAUUGAAUUGCUGAAGGAAAAGAAUGUCAGAGCUCCUGAACUUGGAAGUUUUGUUGGUUUUGCAAUGGAAAAUUUAGAGAGAUGAUAAAGUGAUCGAGAUUCACGAAGACCGAGGUACAAUUUCAAAUCCUAUUGAUGUGGCGGUUGGUGUUGUAAGCAAUCAAGAUGCUUAAUCAUCAGUUGUCCAACCUCUGAAUAGAAUGCAAAUAACCAUGAAGAUACAUUGCCUAGAUUAUUUAAUCCUGCAAAUACAAAUAGUGCUUCGGAAAAUAUUUCUGAUUUGCAUUAUCUGUUAUGUAGCACUUUUGAAAAAUAUAAAGAUGAAAAAUCUCUCCCCUUUGCAUGGAAAAAAAAUAUGAAUAGUCAAGAUGGUUAAAUGUUAGCUGAAUAUAUGUGUCAUUGUCCAUGUCAAAUUUAACUGUGAUAUUUUGUUCUUAUGUAUGUUUAUAUUUUGACAGGGAUUAGGAACAAUUCAGAUACUUGCAGAUGCUUUGUCUAAAAUUGUUCCUUAUGUCUUGAUCAACCACGUGAGGUUUGCUUUUCUAUAAAUAGUUGAAUAAAUAGUUGAUUCAAUGAAGUUUGAUUUUAGUGUUUUAUUAUUUGGAUGUUUAGAUUCUUCACUAGUUGCAUCUAUCUCUGUUUGAUACAUGGCUGACACAAAUGUGUUUUAAUCUCUGUAAGCGUAGUAGUUUUUGUUCACUCUACCUCAAAUAUUGAUUAACUUGGCCAAUUUGAAAACAUGUUGCAGAUUAGCAUUGGCUUUUCAGGAUAAACAUGCUAUUUGGAAUGCAUAUACACUCUUUUUAUGUCUCACCAGGUAUAUAUAAUAUCAUUUACCUAUUUAACUUCACAAAAUAUGUUAUUUCGACACAAACACCAUAGUUAUAAAAAUCGUAUAAUAAAGAAGUGAAAGUGUUAUAGUCAAAUUUGUGUGUCAAAUUGUAUAACUAGAUAUUUUAGAAGCCUUAAUUGUGUCAAAUUUGAUGCUCUUCCUAAUCUGGAACAGUAAGUUGUAGCACUAGUUGUAUAAGACUAUUCAACUAUGAAUGAUAUUCCCAUUAAUUGAUCUAUUCAUUUUAUAAUUCAUUUAGUUAAUUAAGUUUAAAAAUGAGUUUGAUCUCCAUUUUGUUUAUAAUAAUUAAAUUAAAUGUUGGUUCUAAACGUUAGGUUCAUUUACUGCUCUUCUGCUGGUGUCUAUCUCAAAUCUGAUAUAUUACCUCAUGUUGAGGUUAGAUUACAUUUUUACUUUUCAAUAUUAUGGGUCUUGCCACGAUGCACUGAGACUUCUAAUCAUCCAUAUUCUUUUGUUUUACUAGAAAAUAUGUUCUAACCAUCCAUAUUAUUUUGUUAUACACAAAGUUGUUGUUGUUUAGAUAGUUAUUAUAUACACAUGUUGGUAGAUUGAUGCAGUUGACCCUAAGAGCAGACACAAGGGAAAGCUUGAAACAUAAAGCUUAUUGCAAUCAAAGGAUGUUCUUUGUUGUUUAGCUUGCAAUUGUUGAAGGUAGCGUCGGCCCGACCGACGCUGUAUUAUAAAUGUAUUAGUUGAUUGUAGCGUCGGUCUACCCAAGGCCGACGCACAAGAUUUUUUAAACUAACGUCGAAUGUUUUAUUUUGCUGGUAGCGUCGGCUUAGAGUGCGUUGGAUGGUAAUUGACCGAUGCUAUAAAUUAGCUUUGCCUGUUUUAGCCUAGGCCCGACACCGACGCUAGUCAGACGUUAAAUCAACGUUAGCGUCGACUUUUGGCUACGUUAAUAUCAGUUUUUCUAGUAGUGUAGGAAUCUAUUUUCUUUUGGUUAAGGGAACAAGCUUUUGUUGUUAUUGAUUAAUUAGAAGUAUCUAAUUAAUCACAUAAUCCUACUAUAUAAUAUAAUUGAAUUAAAUAUAGAGAAUCCUAUUGCAUCCUAAUGUAAUUAAGCAAUCAUCUAAAACUUAACUACUUUCAUUCAUUGGUUAUUGUAUAGUUUUUUGGAUCAUAAAAAAAUUGUUAGUUUAUAUGUUAUACGGAGGAUUUUUGUGAAAUAUUCUAACAUACUUGCUAAUAUGUGUCCAUUGCAUCAGUUGUUGCUUGCAAAUUAGCCAUGCUUCAUAAUUUUGUAUGUCAAACUAAGUAAAUAUUCACUACUUUCAUUUAUGUAUCAUAAAUUUUUUAAAAUCAAAUAGUUGAAUUUAACUUCAAAUAUGAAAGGGGAUAAUAUAAAAAUUAUUAUACUUUGACUUGGAUUUAUGUCUUAAGAAAGUAGGAUAUCACUUGUUACAUAUGUGAUAUGUUUCUUUGUUUUUUAUGAGAGCACAUGUGAAAUUUUAUAUAUUGAAUGAUUGUUCUUAUGUUCUUUUGUUGCACAAAUGAUAUUAUGAUCGGGUGGCUCUCAUUGGUUGAUAUUAUGAUUGGGUGGCUCUCAUUAAUUGUCCACUUUUUAUUAGUUAAAAGUAACGUCGGUGAAGCCGACGCUACUAAUUUUGUUGAUUUUGAUUUUAGCGUCGGCCGCUGCGACGCAAAGGAAUUUUUCAGAUGAUAUAUAAUUUAGCAUCGAGUGUUCUAUUUUGCUAGUAGCAUCGGCUUUGAGUAGAUCAAGCCGACGCUAUAGUAGCGUCGGCUUCGAGUAGAUCUAACCGACGCUAUAGUAGCGUCAGAUGGUAUUUGGCUGACGCCACAUAUUAGCUUCGAUCGUUUUAGUCUAGUUCCGACACCGACGCUAAGUGGACGCUAAAUCAGAGUUAGCGUCUGCUUUUAGCCUAUUAGCAUGGGCUUUUGACCGACGCUAAAAUCAGAUUUUCUAGUGGUAUUAUCUAGAUUUCUUUUCUUUUCUCUUUAUCUAGAUUAAAACAUUUAUUGUUACAUGGAGAUUAGGAAUUUGGUGUUUUUAGUUCUAAUAUAUUAUCUAUAACAUAAUUAAAAAUAUAAUCGUCCAAUCUUCAAUUUACGUCUAAGAAUUACACUAAGCUAGUAAAAAAGAUUGACCUCAUUUAAUUCAUUAUAUAAACUACUUUUUUCAAUUUAAUAGAUCGGUAAUAUUUUGUAUUUUAUAAAUUUCAUUGAAUUAAUUGAAUAUUUAUAAAGUUUUUUUUUUUACCUUCUUUAUUUUUCUCGAUAUUAUAGUUUUGAAUUUGAAGAACUAAAGAUAAUGUCAUUAGUUGUAAGAUUUGAAUUUGUUUAAGUUUAUUGUACAAAAAUAUUUCUAACUUCUUUUAAAUACUAAUUUACACUAAAAUGGUUAAUUGUAUACUAAAGUGUAAUCAAAUUCUUUUAAAUAUCAUUAAACACUAAAAUAAUUAAUUUGUAUGUGGUAUAAUUCAUACAAAAUGAUAAAUAUUUUAUUUUUACUAACAAUGGUCUUAUAUUAAUAUUAUAUCAUAUUAAAAUACAUUCUUUUAAAAUUGAAUAUUGUUACUACCUUAUUAUGUGUCAAUUACUUGAUUUUCCAAGAGUAUAUUUGUAGGAAGGAAUUGAAACUUCUAGAGGAUUAAAAGUUUUAAGCAAUUCAAAAUGUUUCAAUUGCAUUUUCUUCAUUAAUAAAUUGUGUUGUUUGGAUAGAACCAUUGUUUAUUUAAAUUUUGUCAUAUUUAUAAAUUUAAAAAGUGUUUGGGCAAAAAUAAAAAUUGAAAAAGGUAAUUUUUUUUGAAAUUUUGUAGGGAUAUAUUUGAGAUUCACAUUGUAUGAAGUUAAAAAGAAAUUUCAAAUUCUUACCUUUAAGAUAGUAUUUUAAAUUCUUUCAAUUUGUUUUUGAUAAAAUCUUUUUAUUUUAAAAAUUCAUCGAAUUUAUCAUCCAAAAAUAACAUUUAUAUAAAAGAAUUUGAAUUACGAUACAAAACACACUCUAAAAUUAUUUUUUAUAUACUUAAUUUCAAAUAUUUUGUAAAAAUAAUUUGUAAAGUUAUAUGUUUACGGCUGAUUCUUGUUAAAUGACAAUUCUUUUUUGUUAAAAAAAAGGUGUGUGCCUCAACUAAAUGAAAGCACCUUCGUAAUAUUUUGCAAUUAGUUUCACCCGUGAUAGCAAAGUAUUUCAUUAUGCGCGUUUACGUCUAUAUUUCUACAUUCUAUUUGAAUUCAGGAAGUUCCAAAGUCCUAUGUAGGUUUGGUAUGAUGCAUCUUGUCUUCACGAACAUUAAUGGGACAACCAUGCGCAUUAAGAAAAUUGUAUGCAAUAUCUGCACCCUUCAUGGAUGAAUCAUUAAUGGGACAACCACAUGAAGAAAAUAAAUUAUGUAAAAUGUGUUGUUUCUUCGAAUCAACUAUGGUAUCGAGGCUAUUCUGGAUAUCGAAGGGACAUAAUGAAAGAGAGAGUAGUGGCUUCGAAAUGCGUCGAACAGAGGAGGAAUAAAUAAGAUUGACCUAAGGCACAUAGAAGCCUAAGGCGAAUUAAAAUAUGAAACCUUUUAAAACUUAUAAUAGUAUUUUAGUAAAAUUAAUUAAAAAUAUUAUGAAAAACUAUUUGUAGGACAUUUUAAAAUUAAAAAAAAAAACAUUUAUUGAAUUAAUAUAAUGUACUACAUUACCGAAGCCCUAGUCAAAAUUUUCUGCUUAAAAUCUAUAUCCCAGACAGAUUUUUCUGCUGUUGGUGCAUGUUGGGCCAUUCCUAAAUUAUGAGAUGUUCAUCCUACACUUUGUUAAGGACAUAAGUCAAACAUACGAAACCAAACUCUACAUAGAAGAGUGGAUAAGUUUGAGAGAGAAAGUCUUGAGUUCCUCUGAAAAUUUCAGAGUGGUCAAAUUAGAAAAAUACAAAUAUGGUAGAUGUAAUUUUUGAAACUUCAUGGGGUGCAAGUGCACACUCUCUCACCGCUAUCUAGGCCUGCCCUAAAGUUAACACAUUUUGAUGUUUCUGCUUUACACAGUUACUUUUGUUAAUUCAAUUGGUUUUUGAUUGUAUCUAUAUUGUUAGAUCUAUACUAAUCUAAUCAUUUAUCUUAUAUUUUGUAAUAACUAUGUUAGUUUCUGUGUGUAAUUUGUAAGUGGACUUGUGCAAUUGUAGAUGAUUUUGUCUUUAGUUUGAAUAAGAUGUAGGAGAAAAGGGAUAGUACAAAUGAGUCUUCAAGUAUCUUCUUUUUUUAACACAACAGUCAUUUAUCUAGUGACUUCAAUUCAAGUAGUUCAAGGCAGUGGAAAUUAGCCAUGCCAAAUAUAAGCAUUUUUAAAAAUGACAUUAUUGAUCCCAAAAAAAAGACAUUAUUAUGAUCAAAAACACUGAAAUUCAUUAUUCUAGAGUGUAAAAUAUGAAGUUGUUGGCCAAAUAAAAUGAGAUGAUUUCAAGGAACGUAAAACUCACUAAGUGCAGCCUAAUGUUGGAUGUAACAAAACUUCUGCAACUUUACAUAUAACUUAGAAAACAUGGCAAUCUUUAAGCCUAAUGGGAAUGUUCAAAUUAAGUAUUGCUUAUAAAAUCUGAAGAAAUACAGAGGAUGUAUCAAAUCCGGAUGCAGAGAAAAUAUGAUAUCGUAUAAGCUCAAAGCAAGUUAUCAUAAUAAGAUUGAAUUGAAUUGUAUCAAAAACAAGAAACGAAUCGUCUAAAAACAUCGUUGUGUCGAAUGUCAAGUAUUUAUUGUUGUAGUCAGAAAUCAUCGAAAACUAUUCUCUUAUGUUUUUGUUUCACAUAGAAAGUUUACAGAUGUCAUUAAUGACUUAACAAUACAAUUCAAUACACAUCAUCAAUUUCUAUGCAAUUUAAUACAUAUUGUGGUUUAUGGACUAAACUGUUGCGGUUUAUUUCUUUUUCAUAAACUAAAAAUGAUCUUUUUUCGUCAGAUAUUAAUAUGUCUCAUACUCCAAAAGUAUCAUUUCAAAAAUAAUGUCUAGGUUCAUCAAUUUCAUGAUAUUCAAACAAAACUUGACUACUAGUUCAAGAGAUCAAGAUCGCCGCAUCCAUAUGCAUCCAAAAUGUUGGGACCCCAAAGACCAUGCGGUACAACACGUACAUAGCAGUCUUAUUUUUUUCUUUUGCCACCUCAAUUUUGUUCAUUUCAACAUUCGUCAAUUUGCAUGGCACCCUGUGGCCAAAUGUAUAUGUACAUUACUCAUAUAGCUUUUAUGUUCUAUAACUAUAAAUAUCCCUCAUCUCAUUCCAUAACUCAUCCUAAAAAUUGAGCUAGUGAACUACAAGUGAUGGCUACCACAACCAAAACACGAUUUCCACUUUUGUUAUUGCUUGGAAUUAUAUUCCUAGCCUCAGUUUGUGUCUCUUAUGGCAUUGUCCAAUAUGAACAGGGGAACCCCUGUCUUAAGAAGUGCAUGCAGCGAUACAACAAAGUGAAUGAAGCAUUUAAACGCCGUGAGGAGGAAGAAUAUGAAGAACGUUCAGAACAUAGUGUACCUGGACAAAGAGAACGAGGUCGCCAAGAGGGUGAGAAGGAGGAAGAGCAUCGGGAACAACGGAGAUCUCGACGUGAAAGUGAAAGGGAAAGGGAAGAAGAUGAGCAAAAACAGCGUCAUCCUCACCAUGAAAGAGAGGAAGAGGAGGACGAAGAGUUUAGAGAACGGCGUCAUCGUGGAGAUACAGAAGAGACGAGGUUCAGGCGAAGAAAGGAGAGGAGGCAAGAGCAACAAGAAAAAAAGAGUGAGAGUAAAGAAGAUGAAGAAGAAAGUUCUUCAGAGUCACAAGGACGGAGGAACCCCUUUUUCUUUAGGUCUAACAAAUUCCAAACUAUAUUCGAGAACCAACACGGUCACAUUCGUCUUCUUCAAAAUUUCGACAAACGUUCUAACUUAUUUCAAAAUCUUCAAAACUACCGCUUUUUGGAGUAUAAGGCCAGACCUCACACACUUCUACUCCCCCAACACAUAGAUGCUGACUUCAUCCUUGUAGUUCUUAGCGGUAAUUAUACUAUAAAAAAAUCAACUAGUAGAAGUGUAAUUUUUCUUUCAUUUUACAUAAAACAAUCAAAUUGUUGAUUACUGAAUAUUGCAGGGAAAGCCAUACUUACUGUGUUGAACCCCAACGACAGAAACUCGUUCAACCUUGAACGUGGCGAUACUAUCAAACUCCCUGCAGGCACCACUGCUUAUUUAGCUAACCAUGACGAUGAGGAGGAUCUGAGAGUAGUAGAACUCGCCAUACCUGUUAACAGACCUGGUAAAUUUCAGGUAAUAUAUAUAACUCUAACAUAACACUUUUUCCACUCUCUUCACCAUUACAAUUUCCACCACUCACUAAUGUUAUUUCCUGCAGUCUUUCUUCCCAUCUAGCAAUCAAAACCAACAAUCCUACUUCAAUGGGUUCAGCAAGAGUAUUCUAGAGGCAUCCUUCAAUGUAAGCAUCCUAGCAACAUGUGUGUGUAAAUUGUCGUUAAUUAUUUUAUAUGUAAUAGUUGUAAUUUGUGUCCUUGUUUAUAUGGUUGAAAAAAUAGACAAAAUAUGAGACCAUAGAGAGGGUUCUCUUAGAAGAGCAAGAGCCAGAACAAAGCAGAGGACGUAGGGGAAGUGAAGAAAGCGAAGAAGGAGAUGCAAUUGUUAAAGUGUCAAGGGAACAAAUUGAGGAACUAAGUAAACAUGCCAAAUCAAGCUCAAGGAAAAGCAUAUCCUCAGAAUCGGAACCAUUUAACUUGAGAAGUCGAAACCCCAUUUAUUCCAACAAAUUUGGCAAAUUCUUUGAGAUUACUCCAGAGAAAAGCCCACAACUUCAAGACUUGAAUAUAUUUGUCAGUUGCGUGGAGAUUAAUGAGGUACUCAAACAAACAUAUUAACACAACUAAAUUGGACAAUAAAUUUUAUUUGUCCACAUUCUUCUUAAUUAGAUUAUUACCAAAAAUAUGUUAUUAAACUUUUGUCCAAAAUUUUAGGGAGGUUUGAUGUUGCCACACUUCAAUUCAAGGGCCAUAGUUGUUCUAUUUAUUAAUGAAGGAAAAGGACACCUUGAACUUGUUGGUCUAAGAAAUGAGCAACAAGAACAACAACAAGAGGAAGACGAGGAGCAAGAAGAAGAAGAGAGAAACAACCAAGUGCAGAGGUUUAGAGCCAGGUUGUCUCCAGGUGAUGUUUUCAUCAUUCCAGCAGGUCAUCCAGUUGCUGUAAAUGCUUCCUCAGAUCUCAACUUUGUAGGGUUUGGUAUCAAUGCUGAGAACAAUCAGAGAAACUUCCUUGCAGGUAUAGAUAAAAAAUUUGAAUUGAAUAUACUAUGUAUUAUUUUACUUAAUGACAUGAACAUUAAUAUAAUUUUAUUUGGUGAUUGAACAUUUGAAGGUGAGGACGACAAUGUGAUAAGUCAAAUACAAAAUCCAGUUAAAGAACUUACAUUCCCUGGAUCUGCUCAAGAAGUUAAUAGGCUAAUUAAGAAUCAGAGACAAUCUUAC
rnacentral:lncRNA from 1 species